rnacentral:rRNA from 1 species
UACGUAGGGUGCAAGCGUUGUCCGGAAUUAUUGGGCGUAAAGAGCUCGUAGGCGGUGUGUCGCGUCGGCCGUGAAAACCUGCAGCUUAACUGUGGGCUUGCGGUCGAUACGGGCAUCACUGGAGUUCGGCAGGGGAGACUGGAAUUCCUGGUGUAGCGGUGAAAUGCGCAGAUAUCAGGAGGAACACCGGUGGCGAAGGCGGCAUCCUGGACCGGUAUUGACGCUGAGGCGCGAAAGCCAGGGGAGCAAACGGG